rnacentral:sRNA from 1 species
UCCAGAUACAGCGCCGGGCGUGUCUUC